AUGACUGUCCUAUGGAUUGUAACUGCUUUUCUGCAGGAAGAAACGCUUCUACGUGUAGAGGUUUGAACGGUACUGCAGGAAUAAGCAUCGGUAACUCCGUGCCAGCAGCCGCGGUAAUACGGAGGAUGCAAGCGUUAUCCGGAUUCAUUGGGCUUAAAGGGUGCGUAGGCGGAUUGGUAAGUCAAAGGUGAAAGUCUGUAGCUUAACUAUAGAAGUGCCUUUGAUACUGCUAGUCUUGAGUACAGUUGAGGCGAGUGGAAUGUGUAGUGUAGCGGUGAAAUGCAUAGAUACUACACAGAACACCAAUUGUGAAGACAGCUCGCUAAGCUGCUACUGACGCUCAGGCACGAAAGCGUGGGGAGCGAACAGGAUUAGAUACCCUGGUAGUCCACGCUGUAAACUAUGAUCACUAGCUGUUGGCGAUAAAUUGUCAGUGGCUGAGCGAAAGCGUUAAGUGAUCCACCUGGGGAGUACGAUCGCAAGGUUGAAACUCAAAGGAAUUGACGGGGGCCCGCACAAGCGGUGGAACAUGUGGUUUAAUUCGAUGAUACGCGAGGAACCUUACCUGGGCUUAAAUGUAGAACGACGUCCUGAGAAAUCGGGAUUCCCUUCGGGGCGGACUACAAGGUGCUGCAUGGUUGUCGUCAGCUCGUGCCGUGAGGUAUCGGGUUAAGUCCCAUAACGAGCGCAACCCCUAUUGUUAGUUGCCAGCGGAUAAUGCCGGGGACUCUAACAAAACUGCCCGUGUAAACGGGAGGAAGGUGGGGAUGACGUCAAAUCAGCACGGCCCUUAUGUCCAGGGCUACACACGUGUUACAAUGGCUGGAACAAAGGGCAGCUACCACGCGAGUGGAUGCUAAUCUCUAAUCCGGGUCUCAGUUCGGAUCGGAGUCUGCAAUUCGACUUCGUGAAGAUGGAAUCGCUAGUAAUCGCGCAUCAGCA
rnacentral:rRNA from 1 species